GACGAACGCUGGCGGCGCGCCUAACACAUGCAAGUCGAACGAGCGAGAGAGAGCUUGCUUUCUCGAGCGAGUGGCGAACGGGUGAGUAACGCGUGAGGAACCUGCCUCAAAGAGGGGGACAACAGUUGGAAACGACUGCUAAUACCGCAUAAGCCCACGGCUCGGCAUCGAGCAGGGGGAAAAGGAGCAAUCCGCUUUGAGAUGGCCUCGCGUCCGAUUAGCUAGUUGGUGAGGUAACGGCCCACCAAGGCGACGAUCGGUAGCCGGACUGAGAGGUUGAACGGCCACAUUGGGACUGAGACACGGCCCAGACUCCUACGGGAGGCAGCAGUGGGGAAUAUUGCACAAUGGGGGAAACCCUGAUGCAGCGACGCUGCGUGGAGGAAGAAGGUCUUCGGAUUGUAAACUCCUGUUGUUGGGGAAGAUAAUGACGGUACCCAACAAGGAAGUGACGGCUAACUACGUG
rnacentral:rRNA from 1 species